GAUGAACGUUGGCGGCGUGCUUAACACAUGCAAGUCGAACGCAGAUAGCAAUAUUUGAGUGGCGCACGGGUGAGUAACACGUAGCUUACCUACCCUGGAGAGUGGGAUAACGGUUCGAAAGAGCUGCUAAUACCGCAUAAGCUCACGAGCUCUAGAGGCUUGGGAGAAAACGGGGAAACUCGCUUCAGGAGGGGGCUGCGGCCCAUCAGCUAGUUGGUGAGGUAAAGGCUUACCAAGGCGACGACGGGUAGGGGACCUGAGAGGGU
rnacentral:rRNA from 1 species